rnacentral:rRNA from 1 species
GUAGGUGGCAAGCGUUGUCCGGAAUUAUUGGGCGUAAAGCGCGCGCAGGCGGGUCCUUUAAGUCUGAUGUGAAAGCCCACGGGCUCAACCGUGGAGGGUCAUUGGAAACUGGGGGACUUGAGUACAGAAGAGGAAAGCGGAAUUCCAAGUGUAGCGGUGAAAUGCGUAGAGAUUUGGAGGAACACCAGUGGCGAAGGCGGCUUUCUGGUCUGUAACUGACGCUGUGGCGCGAAAGCGUGGGGAGCAAACAGGAUUAGAUACCCUGGUAGUCCACGCCGUAAACGAUGAGUGCUAAGUGUUAGGGGGUUUCCGCCCCUUAGUGCUGCAGCUAACGCAUUAAGCACUCCGCCUGGGGAGUACGGCCGCAAAGGCUG